rnacentral:rRNA from 1 species
AUUGAACGCUGGCGGCAGGCCUAACACAUGCAAGUCGAGCGGAUGAAGGGAGCUUGCUCCUGGAUUCAGCGGCGGACGGGUGAGUAAUGCCUAGGAAUCUGCCUGGUAGUGGGGGAUAACGUCCGGAAACGGGCGCUAAUACCGCAUACGUCCUGAGGGAGAAAGUGGGGGAUCUUCGGACCUCACGCUAUCAGAUGAGCCUAGGUCGGAUUAGCUAGUUGGUGGGGUAAAGGCCUACCAAGGCGACGAUCCGUAACUGGUCUGAGAGGAUGAUCAGUCACACUGGAACUGAGACACGGUCCAGACUCCUACGGGAGGCAGCAGUGGGGAAUAUUGGACAAUGGGCGAAAGCCUGAUCCAGCCAUGCCGCGUGUGUGAAGAAGGUCUUCGGAUUGUAAAGCACUUUAAGUUGGGAGGAAGGGCAGUAAGUUAAAACCUUGCUGUUUUGACGUUACCAACAGAAAAAGCACCGGCUAACUUCGUG